rnacentral:rRNA from 1 species
GACGUGCUAAUCUGCGAUAAGCGUCGGUAAGGUGAUAUGAACCGUUAUAACCGGCGAUUUCCGAAUGGGGAAACCCAGUGUGAUUCGUCACACUAUCAUUAACUGAAUCCAUAGGUUAAUGAGGCGAACCGGGGGAACUGAAACAUCUAAGUACCCCGAGGAAAAGAAAUCAACCGAGAUUCCCCCAGUAGCGGCGAGCGAACGGGGAGCAGCCCAGAGCCUGAAUCAGUGUGUGUGUUAGUGGAAGCGUCUGGAAAGGCGUGCGAUACAGGGUGACAGCCCCGUACACAAAAAUGCACAUACUGUGAGCUCGAUGAGUAGGGCGGGACACGUGGUAUCCUGUCUGAAUAUGGGGGGACCAUCCUCCAAGGCUAAAUACUCCUGACUGACCGAUAGUGAACCAGUACCGUGAGGGAAAGGCGAAAAGAACCCCGGCGAGGGGAGUGAAAAAGAACCUGAAACCGUGUACGUACAAGCAGUGGGAGCACGCUUAGGCGUGUGACUGCGUACCUUUUGUAUAAUGGGUCAGCGACUUAUAUUCUGUAGCAAGGUUAACCGAAUAGGGGAGCCGAAGGGAAACCGAGUCUUAACUGGGCGUUAAGUUGCAGGGUAUAGACCCGAAACCCGGUGAUCUAGCCAUGGGCAGGUUGAAGGUUGGGUAACACUAACUGGAGGACCGAACCGACUAAUGUUGAAAAAUUAGCGGAUGACUUGUGGCUGGGGGUGAAAGGCCAAUCAAACCGGGAGAUAGCUGGUUCUCCCCGAAAGCUAUUUAGGUAGCGCCUCGUGAAUUCAUCUCCGGGGGUAGAGCACUGUUUCGGCAAGGGGGUCAUCCCGACUUACCAACCCGAUGCAAACUGCGAAUACCGGAGAAUGUUAUCACGGGAGACACACGGCGGGUGCUAACGUCCGUCGUGAAGAGGGAAACAACCCAGACCGCCAGCUAAGGUCCCAAAGUCAUGGUUAAGUGGGAAACGAUGUGGGAAGGCCCAGACAGCCAGGAUGUUGGCUUAGAAGCAGCCAUCAUUUAAAGAAAGCGUAAUAGCUCACUGGUCGAGUCGGCCUGCGCGGAAGAUGUAACGGGGCUAAACCAUGCACCGAAGCUGCGGCAGCGACGCUUAUGCGUUGUUGGGUAGGGGAGCGUUCUGUAAGCCUGUGAAGGUGUGCUGUGAGGUAUGCUGGAGGUAUCAGAAGUGCGAAUGCUGACAUAAGUAACGAUAAAGCGGGUGAAAAGCCCGCUCGCCGGAAGACCAAGGGUUCCUGUCCAACGUUAAUCGGGGCAGGGUGAGUCGACCCCUAAGGCGAGGCCGAAAGGCGUAGUCGAUGGGAAACAGGUUAAUAUUCCUGUACUUGGUGUUACUGCGAAGGGGGGACGGAGAAGGCUAUGUUGGCCGGGCGACGGUUGUCCCGGUUUAAGCGUGUAGGCUGGUUUUCCAGGCAAAUCCGGAAAAUCAAGGCCGAGGCGUGAUGACGAGGCACUACGGUGCUGAAGCAACAAAUGCCCUGCUUCCAGGAAAAGCCUCUAAGCAUCAGGUAACAUCAAAUCGUACCCCAAACCGACACAGGUGGUCAGGUAGAGAAUACCAAGGCGCUUGAGAGAACUCGGGUGAAGGAACUAGGCAAAAUGGUGCCGUAACUUCGGGAGAAGGCACGCUGAUACGUAGGUGAAGCGACUUGCUCGUGGAGCUGAAAUCAGUCGAAGAUACCAGCUGGCUGCAACUGUUUAUUAAAAACACAGCACUGUGCAAACACGAAAGUGGACGUAUACGGUGUGACGCCUGCCCGGUGCCGGAAGGUUAAUUGAUGGGGUUAGCGCAAGCGAAGCUCUUGAUCGAAGCCCCGGUAAACGGCGGCCGUAACUAUAACGGUCCUAAGGUAGCGAAAUUCCUUGUCGGGUAAGUUCCGACCUGCACGAAUGGCGUAAUGAUGGCCAGGCUGUCUCCACCCGAGACUCAGUGAAAUUGAACUCGCUGUGAAGAUGCAGUGUACCCGCGGCAAGACGGAAAGACCCCGUGAACCUUUACUAUAGCUUGACACUGAACAUUGAGCCUUGAUGUGUAGGAUAGGUGGGAGGCUUUGAAGUGUGGACGCCAGUCUGCAUGGAGCCGACCUUGAAAUACCACCCUUUAAUGUUUGAUGUUCU